UUACAUUUGAGUGAGUGGCGAACUGGUGAGUAACACGUGGGAAACCUGCCCAGAAGCGGGGGAUAACACCUGGAAACAGAUGCUAAUACCGCAUAACAACUUGGACCGCAUGGUCCGAGUUUGAAAGAUGGCUUCGGCUAUCACUUUUGGAUGGUCCCGCGGCGUAUUAGCUAGAUGGUGRGGUAACGGCUCACCAUGGCAAUGAUACGUAGCCGACCUGAGAGGGUAAUCGGCCACAUUGGGACUGAGACACGGCCCAAACUCCUACGGGAGGCAGCAGUAGGGAAUCUUCCACAAUGGACGAAAGUCUGAUGGAGCAACGCCGCGUGAGUGAAGAAGGGUUUCGGCUCGUAAAACUCUGUUGUUAAAGAAGAACAUAUCUGAGAGUAACUGUUCAGGUAUUGACGGUAUUUAACCAGAAAGCCACGGCUAACUACGUGCCAGCAGCCGCGGUAAUACGUAGGUGGCAAGCGUUGUCCGGAUUUAUUGGGCGUAAAGCGAGCGCAGGCGGUUUUUUAAGUCUGAUGUGAAAGCCUUCGGCUCAACCGAAGAAGUGCAUCGGAAACUGGGAAACUUGAGUGCAGAAGAGGACAGUGGAACUCCAUGUGUAGCGGUGAAAUGCGUAGAUAUAUGGAAGAACACCAGUGGCGAAGGCGGCUGUCUGGUCUGUAACUGACGCUGAGGCUCGAAAGUAUGGGUAGCAAACAGGAUUAGAUACCCUGGUAGUCCAUACCGUAAACGAUGAAUGCUAAGUGUUGGAGGGUUUCCGCCCUUCAGUGCUGCAGCUAACGCAUUAAGCAUUCCGCCUGGGGAGUACGGCCGCAAGGCUGAAACUCAAAGGAAUUGACGGGGGCCCGCACAAGCGGUGGAGCAUGUGGUUUAAUUCGAAGCUACGCGAAGAACCUUACCAGGUCUUGACAUACUAUGCAAAUCUAAGAGAUUAGACGUUCCCUUCGGGGACAUGGAUACAGGUGGUGCAUGGUUGUCGUCAGCUCGUGUCGUGAGAUGUUGGGUUAAGUCCCGCAACGAGCGCAACCCUUAUUAUCAGUUGCCAGCAUUAAGUUGGGCACUCUGGUGAGACUGCCGGUGACAACCGGAGGAAGGUGGGGAUGACGUCAAAUCAUCAUGCCCCUUAUGACCUGGGCUAC
rnacentral:rRNA from 1 species